rnacentral:lncRNA from 1 species
CUGACUUCUUUACAUUUAUAAUGCCAACAACAUAUGGCAUUCCUAUAGGUUUAAUUCAGGUUCCCAUGUGAAGAAAAGUGUUAAUUUCUGUAGAAAUUACACAGCCCCUUGAUGUCAGGGCUAUGACACAAAUGCCUUCGUCUUUAAAAUUAGGGCACCAAACAACAUAAAUACCAAAGAGAGCAGCAUAGACAAUACAGCAGCCUCUUGAAAGUAACAGUUAAGGGCAUGGCUGCUAUAAAGGUUCCAGAAGCUGGAGGCAGCAGUCCAAAGAGCACUAAUGGUAAGAAGAUAGGCUGGGGCUGUGGUGACAGAAUGGUGGAGAGGCACAGCCAGGACACACACAGUGCAUAUAACAUAAUCAAAACCCAAAUUUAUUAAUUAAAAGAUGA